CUAAAGGCUCUUUUCAGAGCCACCACCAGUCCACAAAGGGUGCUGU
rfam:Felis catus isolate Cinnamon breed Abyssinian chromosome A1, whole genome shotgun sequence.